rnacentral:rRNA from 1 species
AUUGAACGCUGGCGGCAUGCCUUACACAUGCAAGUCGAACGGCAGCACGGGAGCAAUCCUGGUGGCGAGUGGCGAACGGGUGAGUAAAGUAUCGGAACGUGCCCAGUCGUGGGGGAUAACGUAGCGAAAGUUACGCUAAUACCGCAUACGAUCUAUGGAUGAAAGCGGGGGAUCGCAAGACCUCGCGCGAUUGGAGCGGCCGAUAUCAGAUUAGGUAGUUGGUGGGGUAAAGGCCCACCAAGCCGACGAUCUGUAGCUGGUCUGAGAGGACGACCAGCCACACUGGGACUGAGACACGGCCCAGACUCCUACGGGAGGCAGCAGUGGGGAAUUUUGGACAAUGGGCGAAAGCCUGAUCCAGCCAUGCCGCGUGUAGGAUGAAGGCCUUCGGGUUGUAAACUGCUUUUGUACGGAACGAAAAGGACUGCCCUAAUACGGUGGUCCCAUGACGGUACCGUAAGAAUAAGCACCGGCUAACUACGUGCCAGCAGCCGCUGUAA